rnacentral:lncRNA from 1 species
CCCUUGCAAAAGUAGAUGCAUUUAGUCUUUUAUACCUCUCAAUGUAGUCUGGGUCCAUCAUGGGAGGAACUGGGUCCCGUGGAAGAGGGACAUGAUUGUGCUAGGGAUGGACCGGAUGGCCAUGUGGUGGUACUGGAUAUGAUAUGGUGAGGGAACCGAAUUGUACUGUGGUGGUACCAGAUGAUGGGGUUGGGGCACCAGGCUAUACUGUGGUGAUAAUGGUUGAUGCGGUUGGGGUAGGGUCGUACUGGGGUAGCUCCGGAUCCUCCUGCUGCAGAGGUGGCUCAAACUGUAGCAACGAGGGAGGGUCAGGUAUCUCC